CAGAGUUUAGGUAAGAUUUCAUAGAUGACUAAAAUUGAUUUUUGGUUUUUGGGGUUUAUUUGGGCUAAUUUUCAAAAUUCAAUUCCUGUGGUCUUUUUGAUUUUUGGGGUCUUUUUCCAUUUUGGAAGUACCAGUCCAGUUGGUAACACGAUAGCAAUAGAGUUAUGACAUAGAAAGAGAACAUCGUAAAAGGAGUUGAUGGUUUACAACACUGGUGAAUUGUGCUUUCGCGCGGUUGGAAUUGGUGGUUUACGGCAUCCGUUUGGAGCCAUGACAUCCUUCAAACAUGGGAUGGGCACGUAAGCCCCAAAAAUUCGAAAUAGUUUUAGGAGAAUCUUACAGGUCAGUUGAAUAAAAAGUGCAAUUGGUGUCACUUUGAAUCUGUUACAAGACAAUUCCACGGGGUACAUAGUAGAUUUAGAGGUUUCAAAAUAUGUGGUAAUUCUAUUACCUUUCGGCAUCCAUCUCUCUAAUCUGGUCAAGUCUUCAGCAAUUUAGAGGUUUCGAAAUUUGUGGUAAUUCUAUUACCUUUCGACAUCCAUCUCUCUGAUCUGGGCAAGUCUUCAACAUUGGUUAGCACGGAGAGAGGUAUCUCCAAGAACAAAAUGCUUGCCUAGACAGAAUUGGGGGAUUGCUUCAGGGUCUUGACCUGAAGCAACGAGAGAUGCAAAGUGUGGCCUUUUAUCAUGGUAUUUCCACACAGGUUUUAGUAUUAUAUUUACCAGUUUUCAUCUCAUUUUGAAUAUGUUGAGUUCUAGGCGCAUCUUUAGAUUAUUUCAGGGUUGAGGCCAAGUCGUUGCGACAUUUAUCAGCUAAGUAUUGUCCUUUGAUGCCUCCUCCAAGGUCAACCAUUGCAGCAACAUUUAGUCUUGAUGGGAAAACCCUUGCUUCAACACAUGAGUUGUUUGCUUUUUAGUUCCUUGAUAAUUGCACACUGGUACACUCUAUUUAUGUCUCUGUUUGGGGAAAAAAUUAAUUGGGAGAGUACCAAAUUAUUUUGCUUCUUUGCUAACUAAUGGGUCUAGUUUUCGCUCUUGACGAAUAACCUAUAUAAAUGUCAAUUUUAGUAGAUGCAACUCCAAAAAUGCAAUGGCAGCGAUUUCUACUGAAGUACUUGAUGCUU